AGCGUUUUACUUUGAGUCAAACAUAUUGAUUAUGAAAAUAUGUCCAAGUGUUCAAGUGGAUACAAAGUAAAUGCCAGCAAGCUAUAUACCCUGCCUAUCGAUAAAUAAUUCAAUGCCUUGGCAGUCACGCUGCCAUCUCCAAUCGAUAGAUUUGACAGGAAGCGGGCAAAACGCACAGUCAGACAGACAGACAGGAAGCGCGUCUAGGUGUCUGUCUGUGCUCAGAUGCCGAUGUGUAGGUGCAUAUGCGUGAGUGUGUGUGUGUGUGUGUGUUUUUGUAUGUAUUUGUGUAAGGCAUUAACAGAGUCGUAAACUGGCAAGUUGCUUGUUAUGUUGAUUACACAACGAACACAACGUUCGCUCGCGAACUAGCGAAAAUAAAGUUAAAAGCCAAAA